UACAACGAAUUUUUACGUAAUCAGCUUUUUAUGCUGACUUUCAUUCGGAGGAGUAUUACUACUUUAGAGGGAGGGGGUAUUGCGUCGUGUCAAUUCAGCGGCAUAAAAAAAGCGCCUAAAGGCGCUUUUUUUGUUGU
rnacentral:sRNA from 1 species